rnacentral:rRNA from 1 species
AUUGAACGCUGGCGGUAUGCUUAACACAUGCAAGUCGAACGGUAGCAGGCCUUCGGGCGCUGACGAGUGGCGGACGGGUGAGUAAUGCAUAGGAAUCUGCCUAUUAGUGGGGGAUAGCGUGGGGAAACUCACGCUAAUACCGCAUACGCCCUACGGGGGAAAGCGGGGGACUUUCGGGCCUCGCGCUAAUAGAUGAGCCUAUGUUGGAUUAGCUAGUUGGGAGGGUAAAGGCCUACCAAGGCGACGAUCCAUAGCUGGUCUGAGAGGAUGAUCAGCCACACUGGGACUGAGACACGGCCCAGACUCCUACGGGAGGCAGCAGUGGGGAAUUGUUCGCAAUGGGCGCAAGCCUGACGACGCAACGCCGCGUGGAGGAUGAAGAUCUUCGGGUCGUAAACUCCUUUCGAUCGAGACGAACAGUCUCCGGGUGAACAAUCCGGAGGUUUGACGGUACCGAGAGAAGAAGCCCCGGCUAACUCCGUGCCAGCCGCCGCAGUAACAC